rnacentral:lncRNA from 1 species
GGGAAGAGAGUUACUUGAUCCCCACGUCGACUUCUACUUAUUUGUGAUAAAGAGGGGAGAAAAAAAAAAAUUAUUCCAUCGGAGUGCUCAAUGUUGAAGCAUUCUCCACUAAAUUUAAGGAAGUAACUUGACCGAAUUGGCAGAAAUAUAAAGUUUGAUUCUUCUACUGGUUUCGUGAUUAUUCAGUUCCAAAAGACAUAUAUUACUACACUUGUAAGUAAAGAAUCCAAAGCCCACAAAAAGGCAAAAAGCAAAAUCAACUCUUAAGCAGGUGCAAAACAGAAUACAGUAAUAACGAGCAACUUCUUAAAGAAAUUAACAUACAAUAAAAUUUUCUGAUUUCCAUUUGGCCCAGUAGAUUAAGGCUCCGUUUGAUACAGUUUUUUA